AAUAAAUGUUGAAAAAAAAAUUUAAAAAAAAAAAGGAUUAAUUUUUCUUUCAAUCAGUGAAGGGGGAGGGGGUCAUAUGUUAUUUCUGGGGAGGCAAGUGACUCCAAUGCCAAGGGACCCUGGAUUCAAAGCUCUCCAGGUUUGGGGUGGGAGACAGAGGACACUUUGAAAAAGGAAAAAAAAAAAAAAAAAAAAAAAGCCUUUGCGGAGGGAGUGGCUGGAAUCAGAGCUUAGAUGAAAAGAAGACGGAUUUGUCUUGGGCUAGGUCCUUGGACGAAGCAGGCAGGAUUCAGGGUCAGACAAGACUUGCCUGUAGCUAAGGGGAUGGACUUGGAUAUAGAGCAUUCCCAGGCGGACUGCUGUGUGUCCAGGAAGGGGCUGGGAAGCAGCCAGAGGGGAAGAGAACUGUUGCUGUCACUGCUGGGGCUGCUGGGGGCACAGAGACAGGGCCCAGCCUGUCCCCUGAGCAGCCUGAAAGCCAGGGGAUUCUAGCAUUUUCCAUCUCUUUGAGAAGUUGUUAGUCAAAUCUGUCAUCGACAGCAUCUGAGAAAUGGGACCUUUCCUCCAAAGUCUCUGAUAGACUUGUGGACGCGGCAUCCAUUGUCCUCGAGUCAGGAUCCCCGGUUCUCAUCCUGGUUCUGCCGACAGAACCAGUUUUAGCUAGCUGCGGGAAUGAAGAGAAGUCAUUUAAUCUCUCUGGACCUCAGCUUUCUCAUUUGUAAAGGGAGGGGGGAGCGGGGAGGGCUGAUGCGACAAACUAGAGAUACCGCUGCUACUGGUGUCCUAUGAUCUUCUAAGACCUGAGGAGCAUUGACAGGCUCAGCCGUAUCCCCCUCCCCUUACUCGUGCUCUGUGCUCUGAAGCCUCCCACCUGAGCAGCACAGAUGCAACUCCAAAGAGGCUCGUUUUCUGCUCUCUCUCCCUCUUCCCCUCCCCCCUCACACACACACACACACACACACACACACACACACACACACACACACAGCCUCCUUGCCCCCUGUACUGUGCAUCCCUGGACUCCCAAUCAUCCAUAAAAUUUGCUGUGGUUGGGAAGGAGCCUGGGGCCAGGGCACCCCAACAGAAAAGCUGACUCUGUGUAUUUCUGCUAACAGAAAAAAAGAAGAAAAGCCUAGCAGAGCUGGAGAGCGGGGCACCAAGGCACAAAGUUAGCACUGGUAGGGACUUGCCAAAUGGGGAGAGGGAGCAUUGGGAACGGAAGAGAGCCAGGAAAGGUGAAGAGAGAGAAAGAGAAGGCGCAGCUCAGCUGCAGGGGACUCACGCGGAGAGUGAGGAGUGAAACGCGCUGACAGCCUUGUCAGGAAAUCACCUCGAAGCAUCCCACACCCUGGUCUGUCAGUUCCAUCUCCCCAGGGGAGGAGCCCCGCUUGAAACCGACAUUUCCAAGCAAGUGCCCGUGGACGCUUCCAAGAUGGUGAUCUGGUUAUUUCCAGGGCUGGAGUCCUCAGGGACCUCUUUUCAUGUUUGGCCAUUUCGGGUUGGCUCUCAUCCAGCUGCUGCCUGCCUGCUGCACUCCAGGCCAACUGGGAGCAGCAUUCUACAGGAUCAAGGAUCACAGGAACACCCAAUCCUUGGCAAGAAGCAAGAAAUUACCUCCUCGUGAAGGCAGAGGUAAGAGCAUGACUCCUCCCAGUCCCUACAGCAAAUCAGCGGCAGAAGUUGGGCACAGAAGGCAAGCUGCAGACUCCAGACUAAGGAACACCAUUACUUCCCUUCCACCAUGGGGGGAACUGGGCCGGGGGAAGCCAGGGAGAAGGGCAAGGGACAUCUCCAAGGUUGGCCUCUCCCAAAUAGAUGAGACUCUCAUUGGUGUCAAGUGACUUUCGCCUUCUGGCAUUGAGAAUCUUGACUAUUUCCCUGUGGUACCUGCCCACAUCCCCACUUGAAGUUCGGAAAACCUAUUUGUUGACCUCCACUGGCUUCCCUGGUGCCACUCUAUGUCUGCCAUUUUUCUCUUAUCCUCCCUGGUAGUGUUGGUGGGUGUGUUGCCUCAGGUGGCACAAACUCAUCCCAGAGUGUGUCUGACCCAAGGGCAAGGCAUUCAAGGGCUAGACUGUGGCCUCAAAGUCUGUAGCGCUUCCUGCCACCUUCAAUCCUAGACAGUCCUAUGGGCUGAGGAGAACUGUCACCUGCAUCCCCUGUCUCCUCUGCCCUUCUGCUCACCUGGCCCAGGACAAAAGUAGGGGAGGGAGAGAAUGGAGCAUGUGGCCCACCUUCCCCUAGGGGUGAGGGAGAACUUUCUGGACCAAGCACACUGAAAUGGAGACCUGAAGGGUAAGGGGGAAAUGCCCAAGUGUGGGGCAGGAUGGGGACUGUCACCCUUAUUGGCCCCUUCUGCUCCUCACACCUCUUUUCUCCCAGACUUGUGGGACCGCUUCUUGGCUCAGGGCCCUUCAGUCCAGUCUCCUCAAGAGGUCCUCCUCCACUAGCCACACCCUGCCCAGCAUCCAGCUUCCCCAGAGACUUCCCAACUCUGGGGACACUUUCCCCCAGGGAUUCAGUUGAAAGACGGAGGACCCAGAGGAGAAGGAUCCAGAGAGGGUGGGAUCCGGGUAUUCCUCAAAGGGAGCACCUGGUGGCAAGAAGGCACGUGGUGCUGCUGCUCCCAGGGCCACGACCUCAGGUGGGGAUCAGAGACCUGGGGCAGAGGGAGCUGACAGAGGGGACGAGAUCCAGAUAAGAAAUGAACAAGCAGGCGAACCACAGGGAUACCUGAGAGUUCUGGGGUGUGGGGAUCCGUAAAUACCCUCUCAUUCCAGCACAGAUGUAACCUACCUGGGACAUGGGACCUGGAGCCACAUCCUGCUGCUGAAUGGGAAGUGGCAAUACGGUCAGGGGCCUGGCUUCAAACUCUGUUUUCACCCUUCCUAGCCAUGGCAUCUUUGGUCAGCCACUGCUGUGUAUCUGACUCUUGUUUCUUUAUCUGUAAAAGUUAGGCUGAGAACCCAGGACAGAGAUUUAUUACAAGGAAUUGGCUGAUGUUGAUUGUGGGGGUUGGCAUCCUGAGUGGCAUCCUGGGUUCUUGAUGCUCUGACUCCUUCUAAGGGGGUGGGCCUGAGUGGGGCCCGAGCGUGCGUUAUCAUAAUAUAUGCAUAUUUUAUAUGCAGGAGAUCUAUUUCAAGGAACUGGUUUAUGCAACUGUGGAGGUUGGCUAGGCAAGUACAAAAUCUGUAGGUCAUGCAAUCAAGAAGGAAAGAGAAUAGCUCAGGAACAAGUUGGACCCCGGGGCAAUGGUAAGGCCAUUGUCCACAGCCCAUCAGGAAGAGGAGUCUAGCGAGGGGAGGGCAGCCGGAGUGUCCUUCAUCAGGAAGUGUGUCUCUUUCAAGGGCUUGCCUGCUUAGGCCAGGCUCACAGGGGAUACUCUCCCUAAAGGUGACUAAUUAGGGACUUUAAUUACAUCCUUCAAAUCCCUUUGCAGCAGGCCCUAGAUCAGUGUUUGCUUGAAUAACAGGGAGAGGGUGUGUGUUUGCUACAAAGUGGCGGCCGCCCUCUCUCCCGUUCUCGGAGGGAGUGUAGCCUGGUUGACCCGUCAAAGGAAAUCACACGGCAAAAAUGAUUUUUAUGAAGAUUAACUAUUAGAUACUCUUUGGGACAGUUUCCCGACAGCUGGGGCUCGCUCGGGAAUUUACGUACCAAGGAGCUGAGGCUCUGCUUCUCUUAACAGAGGGGACCUGAAGAGGUUCCGGCCAUAGUUGUCUUUGGUCAGAAGCGAGGGUGUCUCUGUGGGGCUCCUGAGGUGUGUGGAUAUGGCACAUCAUGGGGAGGACCUCAAGAUCAACCAGUGCUCCGGAGAUGCCCUGCCCUGGCAUUUGGGGCCACCGCAGCCAGAGCUGCGGCAGCAGAUGACCGUCCCGGCCCUUGGUGACCGGUGGGGCUACAGCAGGUAAUUACCGGGCAGAGGCUGGGAACUGACAGGGUAAUUAUUAGCUUCUAAUUGCAGGGCAAACCCAGGCCGAGAUCCUUCUCUCCAAAGCAGAGGGCAUUACUAUUUGCAUAGCAAUUAAUUACUUUGGGAGCUGCGGAAUUUAAUUACCCACUCGUCCGCAGGAGCCAAUAAUUAAAUUACUCUCAGAAACAGGGUAUUUAUUUCCCAGUUAGGCUGAGCAGGUAGCUCCUACCUUGGGGAGUGAGCCUGGGUGGUGACCCCUGAACCAAUGGUUGGCCCCCCGGCCUGAGCACUCAGAGUGGCAACCUCAGUGCCGCAGGAGGGAGUGUCCGCCCCGUGAUGCAGACGGACGCUCGACACACACAGAUGCAGGCCCUCGUGGAGCACGCUCAGACCCAGGGGCUGGCUGUCACACACGUGGUCGCCGGUGGAGGCAGGGACGCCCGCGCGCGCACCCACAGCGUCAUGUAAACCAUGCACGUAGCAAGAAGGGCAAAAGGACCAAACAGGGCACUUUUGCUCUGUCUUUUGGCCACAGCUGCUUGGCCUAACUUGUGUCAAAAUGUCAAAAUGUAUUUUUAGUACCGUGUACUGUGGCCAACAGACUGAUUCUGAGUCCAUCUAGUCCUUCUAGAAUCUCUUUUCAUCCCCGAUUCCUCUCAGGGCUGCGUCGGGGUUGGGAGGGGCUUAGGGCAGCGUGGGGCUUAGGGAAGGAUUGAAGAACAUCACUCGAUAAUAAUUUAAAAAAUCGGAGAGUUUAAUAUUCCUGCAUCAAAAUGUCCGUGUCGAGAUGUCAUAUACUCUUGAGAGAUGGGGGCCUCUGGAGUCUUCCAAACAGAGUGGCCCUUGGGAGCAGGGCUGUGUUAGGUUCAGUCCUUACUUCUCCCUCUUCAUACAAGGCAAGGUGGGGCUGGGGUCAUGGAGGUAAUGAAGGAGCUGAGGGGAGGGGGAAGCCACCAAGGGUGUGUCUGGAUCAGCUCACCCGCUGACUGGGACAGCCUGUCCCCCAGGCCCGAGAAAGCCUAGAGGUCGGGUGGCAUCAUUCCCGUUUCCCCAUGGCUGUCCCCCAAGUCCACCUGCCCUGUUCUCCACCUCGCUUGCCUGGGCAGUCAGUAGCUGCCAGCUAGUUGAGGCAAGGCUUUUGCAGAGUGUGGGGUGACGUGUCUGGCUCCGGUGCUGGGGAUCCCAGCGGUAGGGCCGCCUGCUGCUGGUGAUGAGACGCCCAGUCCUCUGGGCUAGCGGACCUGGGGUCUUUGUGCGCCACCACCCUCAGAGGAAGGAUGGAAGAGAUCCGGCUCGCCUCCCUUGCUCUUCACUCUGGGAAGGGUCUCAGGCGAAUCAAGUGGGUGCUGGUUAUUCUGGCCUUUUAGAUUCCCCCAGGUGACAUUAUUGAGCCCCUGCUGUGUGCAGGUCCAGAGCCAGGCCACCUCCCUGCCCUGCUGCCUUUGGUUGCAUUCCCAACUGACAUUGGCACCCAGCCCUGACCUCUUGCACCCCUCCUCCCAAAGCCUAGAGCUGAGCCCUGCUCCGACCCCUCCAGCUUGGCCUCAGGGCCGCCCGGGGUGGGAUCCUAUAGGCGCUUCUAAUGCAGUUCUCCCUGACUCUGUUCAGGGCACCCACCACCAAGGAAGAGCCAGGGCCGGCCCUCAGCCCAGGCUGCUGACAGCAGCGAUUCAUCUCCAUCACAGUAAUGGCGUCCCCAUUAAUCGGCCAUAAACUAAUAAAGCAAGCACUUUCCACCCCACACCCCCCCCCCCAACUUCAUUAAGUCUUUAGUACAUUAAUAUGUCUUACUUAGUGUCAGCUAAGCCUCUUUCUCCGUUUGGGGUGGAGCACGGUGGGAUGGGCGCCUUGCCCGGUGGGCGGGUGACCAUGACCCCUCCCGUGGCCUGGGCAGAGGGUCUGCUGACUCAGGGCCACCCACCCCCCUCUCCCGCCUCCUCUGCCCACCGCCCGCCCGCUGAGAGGCCCUAGAGGCCCAGGGAAGCAGGAGCAGGAGGAACAGGAAGAAGCGGGGAGAAGCAGAGGUGUAGGGAGGAAAGAGGAGGAGGAGGAGGGAGGGACUGAGGAGGAAGGGGGCUCACAGGAAAGGAGGAGACGGGAUGGGGGAGGAGCCGUGCACCUCCAAAUUAAAUUUGUGAUUCAGGCAUCAGAUGGGCCGACAGCCAGAGAUUAAUUCGACUGAUCGAGUUAUAAAGAGCGGGAGGCCUGGGUAAUCAAUCUUGCAGCUGUCAGGCCGACAGGCAGGAGUAUUAACCUGGCGAGACGGCACAUACCGAGGACUUCUUCAUUUCAUUCACCCCAACCACGUCCCUGACCACCUCUGGCCUGUCUCUCCAAAUAAUAAUAAUUGUGGCUGUUAACGAUGACAGAGACAGGCUCUUCUGCCAGGGCCUUCUCUCCGGGAACUCCCGCCCGCCGCUCAGUGCGACCAGAAGGCAGAGCAAGUAACAGCCGGUGGCCCUCCUUGAGAGGUGGGGAAAUCGAGGCAGGGACUCCAACAAGACCUUCAGACGGGCCAGAGGUGGGGUUGGGAAGGCACUUGGAGAUAAGGACACUGUCCUAGAUCCCUCUUGCUUCCCAGGGAAGGAGCUGUCCCCCAACGAGGGGGCACAAACCCGUGGCACUUUCAGCUCUGGCUGAGGAAGCUGGGCUCCAGCUGUCUCCUCCUCUGGCCUCUGCCCACCCCGAGCACAGCUCUGAGUGCUGAGUGGGCUGCUUGGAGGCCCCGCCCCGGCCUUGGGCUGGGGCCCUGUUCUUGCUGGCAAGCCACCUUUCCUGCUCCCUCUCCUCGCCCGACAGUGUCAGUCCGCACCUGGGGUGGGGUGGGGGUCUCCCUGCAGAGACUUGUGGAAACACCAUCCCUUGGGCAGAGAAGGGGUGUGUGUGGGGGGGAUACUGCCUUGAAGUUGACGCCUCUCUCAGUUCCGGCUAAUUUUCACAUCCUUCAAACUCUGAUAUCUCUUUCUUCCUUGCUCCGGGGAAAGGAAGGGGGAAGAAGGCACAGUGUGUGUGUGUGUGUGUGUGUGUGUGUGUGUGUGUGUGUAGUUUUGGGGGGCCAUGUAUAAAGAUGUGAUGCGGGCAUGUAAAAAGAUACCUUUAGGGUAUGAGGGAAGUGAGCCAGGACUGAGUCAGCCCUCUGAAAUCCUCAGGCCAGGGUGCACUGUAAGUAGUGGAGGCCUUGGACGGUCAAGGUGAGGAGACAGGAGUCCUCUUCUCCUUUCUUAGUAAGAACCAGGCAUAGCGUUACUUGAGGGGCCAUGGUCCCUCUAGUGCUCUAACAACGUUAUCUAUUAUUAUGUUGUGAUUAUUAUUGCCAAUCUAGGGACCACCCCACCCUGCAGACAACAAUAAUACAAUUCUCAUUUAUUGUGUUCUAAGUAUUUCUAGAUUCUUGCUAAGCGUUUUAUAUAUGUUACAACUUUAAUGUUCACAAAAAGCUCUACAGAGUAGGUUCAAUUUUCAGUCGCAUUUUACAGAAGAACACUUGAGGUUCAGAAGGGUUUGGGUACUUGCUUAAGCUGGCGUUGCCAGGAAAUGGUAAAGCCAAUAGUUGCCCUGCCCAGCGCCUCAGUACAGGCUGACUUUGCCCAAGGCCCCCAAAUUCACUUGCACUCCACCGUGGCCCCUCCUCAGCAUCCCCUAUUGGCUGAUUCUGGAUAUCUCCAGCUGAGGUUCCCUGGGCACCGGAUC